rnacentral:rRNA from 1 species
AUACGGAGGAUGCGAGCGUUAUCCGGAUUUAUUGGGUUUAAAGGGUGCGUAGGCGGCUUUGUAAGUCAGCGGUGAAAUUUUGCAGCUUAACUGUAAAAGCGCCGUUGAUACUGUGAAGCUAGGAUUUGGUUGCUGUGGGCGGAAUGUGUGGUGUAGCGGUGAAAUGCAUAGAGAUCACACAGAAUAUCGAUUGCGAAGGCAGCUCACAAAGCCAAUAUUGACGCUGAGGCACGAAAGUGUGGGGAUC